CCACAGCGCUGGUCCUGACCAGCGCUGUGGUUUAUAGCCAAAGUCGUAGCCCACAAAGCCACGGCUUAAUUUGAAAAAUAACGACCAGCAGGGGCAUCCGGGCUGGUACCCGGACUAUCUGCGGAACUCGUGGUGGCUUCAGCAAGUCGCUGCUUUAUGACUGCUAAAGCGCACGCCGAGUCUACGCCGGUGGUGUCCCCUUACCGAGGGUGACCA
rfam:Pseudomonas sp. 21C1 contig00003, whole genome shotgun sequence.